AGUGUUGAAAGUUCAAGACCUAAGUUAUUUGCGGAACUAACAAGACCCAACAGAAUACUUGCUAGAAUGAAGGCUUUAGGAUUUAAAGCUUAUGCACAAUAUGCCAUCAGGACUGCUUUUUGGAUGCAUUUACUAGUUCACUAUAAUUUAUUUAUUCUUGCAUAUUUUUGGAUCACAUAAAGUGCAGGCUACUUGCAAGCAAAGAUAGUGCCUCCUGUUUCUCCACUGUGCUGAUAUACAGCCUUGUUCGUUAUAAGUGACCAGAACUGCUUGGUCCAUCCAUGCUGCUGCAAAUGGCAUUCUUUCAUUCAACAGAAAAUUUUAGAAGCUUAUCAAAAGCUUUUGUUGCUUGGAACCCAGCCACCAUGCUGUACGGAAGCCCAAGCAGCCCCAUGGAGAGGCCCAUGUGAAGGACAACGAAGUGCCCUGACUGACAACCCCAGCAGAGCUCCUGGUUGUAAUCUGAUGGUCAUGGGCUCUCCUCAUCCCCUGCUCCCUCAAGUGCCCCAUUUUGGCUAACCAAAUGAAGCCAGCUGACAGCCACCUCCUGGAAAGACAGAAAGACGGUCUGCACAGGGAGCAGAACUGGGGAAACAAGCCCAGGAUCAGCACAGCAGAUAAACAAAGGACAGCAAGCGUGAAGUGGGGAAGAAAGCAGAGGGUUUAGCCCUGCUGUGGCCAUGGAGACAGAAGAGGAAUUGAUAAAGAAGCAGAAAUGGUCCAGCCAGGUUUUCAUAUGAUCACUAGAAGACUUAUAGAUGUAUUCUCACCUACAUCACUGCCAUCUUAUUGGUGAGUAAUGUGGGCUCACAAACUGGUCUAAAAUCCACAGGACUAAAUACAAAGCAUUAGACAGAUCACUAGCAAUGAAAUUGAAUAUGUCAUAAAAACACUCCCUACAAAUAAAAGUCCAGGACCAGAUGGCUUCAUAGGUGAA